rnacentral:rRNA from 1 species
UACGGGGGGGGCAAGCGUUGUUCGGAAUUACUGGGCGUAAAGGGCUCGUAGGCGGCCAGCUAAGUCAGACGUGAAAUCCCUCGGCUCAACCGGGAACUGCGUCUGAUACUGGAUGGCUUGAGUGUGGGAGAGGGAUGCGGAAUUCCAGGUGUAGCGGUGAAAUGCGUAGAUAUCUGGAGGAACACCGGUGGCGAAGGCGGCAUCCUGGACCACGACUGACGCUGAGGAGCGAAAGCCAGGGAGCAAAGCGG